GCCUGGUUGGCUCAGUCGGUUGAGCUUCCGACUUCUACUCGGGCAUGAUCUCAUGGUCUGUGAGUUCGAGCCCCACGUCGGGCU
rnacentral:tRNA from 1 species